rnacentral:rRNA from 1 species
CUCGCCGCGUUAAUACGUAGGGUGCAAGCGUUAAUCGGAAUUACUGGGCGUAAAGCGUGCGCAGGCGGUUUGUUAAGACAGAUGUGAAAUCCCCGGGCUCAACCUGGGAACUGCAUUUGUGACUGGCAGGCUAGAGUAUGGCAGAGGGGGGUGGAAUUCCGCGUGUAGCAGUGAAAUGCGUAGAUAUGCGGAGGAACACCGAUGGCGAAGGCAGCCCCCUGGGCCAAUACUGACGCUCAUGCACGAAAGCGUGGGGAGCAAACAGGAUUAGAUACCCGAGUAGUCCCUGUCUCUUAUACAC